rnacentral:rRNA from 1 species
AUGGUAGGUGCUAGCGGCGGUGGUGAAGCGCCGACGAUGAGGAGAAGCGAUGCGUGCCUCCUCCUUGGCUUCAUGGCCGUCACCCUUGUUCUCGUUGUCUGCGGGUGGUAUUCAUCUUCUCCGACCGACGGCCCGAGUUUCUCCGUCAAGCUCACGGGCGUGGACGGCCUCGUCCCGCAAGGCGGUGGCGGCCCGGCGGUGAUCCACCCGGCGUUCGACCUUACCCUCCGAGCCCACAACGGCCAGAGCGCCAAGGCCUGCAGGGAGAACGUCACGAUCACGGUGAUGUACGGCAACGUGGUGCUGGGAUGGGCCCGCGUGCCGGACUUCUGCGUCGACGAGUGGGCGUCCAUGGAGAUGAGCGCCGCGGUGUCCAACGCCGACGUAGUUCUCACCGAUGACCUGCGACGUCGCCUGGACUCGGAGCUGCUUGCCGGGGCGCUGGAGCUGGAUGUGGAGACGAGGGUGUGGUUCCCUGAGGGUCAACCUCUCUUUUGGGAGUGCCAAGAUUGCUCGUCCCGGGAGUGCUUGGUAGUGUGCCGAGUAAACCCGGGACAGGCCGGCUACGCACCGUGCCAAACACGCAGGCUAUAUGCCACGCAUUAG